AGGAUUAUAGUUUAAAAAAACAUUUGAUUUGCAUUCAAAAAAUAUUAUAUAUAUAAUUUUUCUU
rnacentral:tRNA from 1 species